rnacentral:tRNA from 1 species
ACACAGAUGGCCGAAUGGUUAGGCAGCGGUCUCCAAAACCGUGAGAGUACUCUCAAUGUGGGUUCGAGUCCUACUCUGUGUGCAA